rnacentral:rRNA from 1 species
ACGCUCGACACCUACGGGGGGCAGCAGUAGGGAAUCUUCCACAAUGGGCGCAAGCCUGAUGGAGCAACACCGCGUGAGUGAAGAAGGGUUUCGGCUCGUAAAGCUCUGUUGUUGGAGAAGAACGUGCGUGAGAGUAACUGUUCACGCAGUGACGGUAUCCAACCAGAAAGUCACGGCUAACUACGUGUCAGCAGCCGCGGUAAUCUGAGCGGGCUGGCAAGGC